AUGGGAACGCGAAGAACCUUACCUACUCUUGACAUCCAGAGAACUUAGCAGAGAUGCUUUGGUGCCUUCGGGAACUCUGAGACAGGUGCUGCAUGGCUGUCGUCAGCUCGUGUUGUGAAAUGUUGGGUUAAGUCCCGCAACGAGCGCAACCCUUAUCCUUUGUUGCCAGCGGUUCGGCCGGGAACUCAAAGGAGACUGCCAGUGAUAAACUGGAGGAAGGUGGGGAUGACGUCAAGUCAUCAUGGCCCUUACGAGUAGGGCUACACACGUGCUACAAUGGCGCAUACAAAGAGAAGCGACCUCGCGAGAGCAAGCGGACCUCAUAAAGUGCGUCGUAGUCCGGAUUGGAGUCUGCAACUCGACUCCAUGAAGUCGGAAUCGCUAGUAAUCGUAGAUCAGAAUGCUACGGUGAA
rnacentral:rRNA from 1 species